GAUCUUGUGGUGUAGCGGUAACAUGUCCUCUACUACUACUGUCAUAGUAUUCUUUAGAGGAAAUCCCUUGUUCGAAUCAAGGUGAGGUCA